AGAGCGCACAAAACCCAAGGGGACUCAAAGCCAGUUGUUUUAUUAGCAAAAUGAGUUUCUCCGGGAAUAGCAGAGGAAUUGCAAUUUGGGACAAGCAAACUAUGGCAAACCAUUGGAGAUAAAAUUCCUGUAAAGAUAUCUCACACUGUCAAGAUAAGAAUUCCGUUCCUUCUGCGGGUUAUGCGGGCUGCAAGGAGUGAUUUAAAGAAACUUUCUCUUAGGCUGAUUUACACCUUUGCAAGCAGAAUUCAAACACUUCUCCCUACCUAAUCCCUUCAGAAUUUGGAAACUCGCAUUCUUGUGCUAUGUAUGCCAGCAUGACUAUUUGGUGAUGUCCCCAUGCAGUGAUCCGCUCAGUUGGUAUAUCUCAGAUUGCUGGAAGUUCUUUUGGAAGUUCUGGCAAUGGCAAUCAGACAAGAAAAAGAAAAGCCAUAGGAAGUAAAAGAAGGAAGGAAGGAAGCCAGCAAGCCCUGGAAGGGGGAGCGCUCACGCUUUUACCAUUCCUUGCAGCCCGCAUAACAAGCAGAAGGAAGAGUAUUCUUACCUUGACAAUAUGAGACAUCUUCACAGGAAUUUUAUCACCUGCUUUUAAGAAAAAGAAGAUCUCAUUCAGCCCCAGCAACAAGAACUAACCAUUGCUUGCAGCCAGUGAGAAAUUGUCACAACCUCAAGUUCUUAUCCUUCUUCAAUGAACUUUUGUUCAAAACAACCCUCCCCACAUUUCUCCUAAAACUUAAUAAAAGCUGAUCUUCCUUUUGUCUCUUUGGACUCA